GGAUGUGAGGACUGUCUGGCUGUGAUAUCUGUCACCCUAUUGAUCGCCAGGGUUGAUUUGGCUGAUUUGGCUGGCUAGGCGGGUGUCCCCUUCCUCCCUCAUCGCUCCAUGUGCCUCCCUCCAGAUAGAAGAGGACGGCCUUCCCCUAAUAGAGACAGACGGUCUUCAGUCGAGGGUAUAUGAGUAGCUGCACUCCCCUGCUAGAAGUUCCAAACAAGCUCUCUUUUCAGUGCAGUGCUUCUGAAGUAAGUGUCCUAACUACUUAAGUAUGAAUAUCUU
ensembl:misc_RNA 7SK 7SK RNA